UUACUCAAACAUUUCAGUUCUCCCUUCUUUUUGAUGUGCAUCCCUAAAUUAUGACUAUAUUUAAUUUUUAAGAUAGGGGAAUUGAAUGAG